rnacentral:lncRNA from 1 species
AAAAGAAAACUGAGUGGGUCAGGCUUGGGAGCCUGGGGAGCAUAUGGGGUUUUCAACCCACAAUAAUAUAAUCAUUAUAUUUAAUCAGCAAACAAUCAACCCAAUUACCCAUCCCCAUUAUCUUCUUAAGGUUUUACCCUAAGAACCAACUAUCAUUCAUUCAUUCAUUCGUAAGAAAUUUGGCAUGAAUUCCAUUACUGCCAAAGCUUACUUAUCAAGUACUAAAUCCAUAGUUAUCUGGUGCUAACUCCAUAGUCACCAAGGUUCACUUAACAAGCGCUAACUCCAUAGUCGCCAAGGUUUACUCAACAAGCGCUAACUCCAUAGUCGCCAAAGUUUACUCAACAAGCGCUAACUCCAUAGUCGCCAAGGUUCAUCAAAUAGGCACGAAGUCACAUCGUCGCCAAGGUUUAUGCAAUAGGCGCUAACUCCAUAGUCACCAAGGUUUAUACAAAAGGCGCUAACUCCAUAGUCACCAAGGUUUACCUAAUAAUAGGCGCUAACUCCAUAGUCACCAAGGUUUAUCUAACAGCAGGCGCUAACUCCAUAGUCACCAAGGUUUAUCUAACAGCAGGCGCUAACUCCAUAGUCACCAACUAACCCAUCUACCCAUGUUCUACCCAACAAUAUUAGUAGAUAAAAAUAUACAUUUGUAUACGUAGUUUAAAGAAAACCUGUAUAGCAUGCUUUAAUCAACACAUAUGUCACAUAACAGAUGAGACACACACACAUAACACAUAUCUCAUAAAGAAAUAAGCAGAUCUAUAAGAUAGAAGAGAGUGAAUACUCAUUCACACAUAACACAACCAAAUAUAUACACAUAGCACGUAUUUUUAUAUAAAAUACUUCGUAUUAUUGUAUUAGAAGAAAUAACUACACACUCACUUGAUCAGAAGACGAUCCGACAGCACUACGGCUUAUAGAAGUAGUAUUCCUCAGCAGAUCUGGAAGAUCUCCUCGAAAAUCAAACUUCUCGCGGGCAGAGCUUCGACUCGGGAACCGCACUUUUCGGGAUCUUCGGGAUCUCGGGACUUGCCUCGGGGCUAGGGUAUAAUACCGGGGCUUCGGGGUAUUUCUGGCACGCAAAACGAUGCAAAACGGGAGAGAGAAGAGAAGAAAUUGGCAAUUGGGUCGGCUGCCCUCGCAUCCUAUUUAUAGGAGGCUGGAGCCUCGGAGUACGCGGGGCGUACGCCAGUACGCGGGGCGUACUGGUCCGAAAAACGUCACUGCGUGCGUCAUCCGAAGCCACUUGCUGCGAAUGUCGACACUUCGGAGUACGCGGGGCGUACUCGAGUACGCGGCGCGUACCUCGGAUCAGACCGGUGACUCCUUCGGAUAAUGCUUCCGAAUUUCCUUUUAAAUUUAAAUACAAAUUGAUUAAUAAACUUCGGAAAUUCAUAUCUUCUUCAUACGAACUCCGUUUUCGACGUUCUUUAUAUCCACGCGAAGGUGAGACUACGCUCUACAACUUUCGUUUAGACUCCGUCGGCUAAUUUUGACUUUUAUUUUUAUUAUUUAUUUUUAAUAGGCCGCGACAGAAAACUUCGUUAUAAAUUCAUAACUUCUUCGUUUGACGUCCGUUCUCGCCUAACUUUUUAUCGCUUCGAUACCAACAACGAGAUCUUCGAUUCUCGUUUAGAUUGCUAAGGCUAAAUAUCGCUCUAACGUAAAUUCACUUUUUACGUCGCGCUGUGUCGUGCCGGUUCUGUCGCGAAACUUCGACAGGUCAUAACUUCUUCGUUAUAACUCGGAUUUUGGCGUUCUUUAUAUGUACGGAAACCUUGUAACAUAUACUACAACUUAGUUAGGAUUAUUCAUCCUAAAUAAUCUUCUAUCAAAAAGUCAUUUUUGACUCUUAUUGUCUCUAAAUUGACUAGCCCUGAUCUACGGGCGUUACAAUUAUCUCCCCCUUAGGAUGAUUACGUCCCGGAAUCAUCAACGAAAUAGGAUUCGCAUACUGACUCCAUAAGUUAUCUCUCCAUUCUAAGUAAUAACCCUGAUGGGUCGUGUCCCGAUGACCUCUCAUCAUAGUCGGACUCAAUUGAUAUGACCCCUAGGGUCGGAAUAACAACUAUCUUACUAGACAUUACCGAAACAAUGGUAAUGACAUACUUGAAUAAAACGGAAUCAAUUACUAGCUUCUUGAUAACCUUGUGACUUCCCCUGAUCCAAGCGUGAGUCCUGUGCUUCCGGUAGUAUAGAUCUCUACUACCAUUCACACCUACUCAUACUCGUCCCAAGUAUUGUCUCGCAGUUAACCAAGUCACCAUACAUAAAUCAUAUAAUCAUUCAACACAUCAGAUAACAAAACUAGGAUUUAUAUUAAUUCUUGAAACUAUUACACAAAAGUUCAAGUUCACCCUAUACUAUGCCUCUAACAGGCUAUGCUUCCUGAUACAGACUUUACCGACUUUAUAUAUUAAUAUGAAGUCUUCAUCCUUUAACCCUCCCAUCCCUUUCUGCUUCGUUGAGGAACAUGUUGAAUGCCCUUGGCUGUGGAGGUGUGUUUUUCUGUGGGCAGUCUUUAGAAAUAUGACCUUCUUCAUUACACCUAUAGCACAUCUUCUUGUUAGGUGCGCACUUGUUGGCAUAGUGCCCUGUCUUCCCACAUUUGUAGCAAGUCAUCUCCUCGCUACAUUUCCCGAAGUGUCUCUUCUUACACUUCUCACACCACUUAGCCUCAUCUCUUCCUCCAGUUUUCGAGAAUUUACUUUCUUUAUCGAUUAUUGAAGAUCCUUCACGCUUCCUUUUCUCUCCAACUUCAGCCCUUUCCAGACCCUUUUCUUUUAUUUGGGUCUCAACAUUUUUGGCUGCCCAGAUGGCGGCUUUCAGAGUGGUUGCUUGUUUGACUAUCGGACCAAAGUCCGCUGGUAAUCCAUUGGCAAACUUGUUGACCUUGGAAAGUUCAGUCGGAAUUAGGUAUGGAAUAAGCUUCAUCUUCUCCGUAAAGCUCGUAGCGUAUUCAGUAACGCUCAAUUUUCCUUUCUUCAGAUUCUGGAACUCAUUGUUGAUUUCCAGAAGAUCCUGCUCAGAGCAGUAUUGCAUUUUCAUUUGCACCACGAACUCUUCCCAAGACAUCUUGCUAGCUUCCCCCUUGGGCAUCGAACCAGCCAGUAACUUCCACCAGCUCAAUACUCCAGAUUUUAACAGAGGGAUUGCAAGAGCGGUCUUCUGUCUGUUGCUACACUCGCAACUUUCAAACAUUGUCUCCAUUUCGGAGAUCCAGUCCAUGACUUGCACCGGUGUUGGGCUCCCAGAAAGACAUGGUGGUUUGGAUGCCAUGAAAUCCUUGUACUUGCAUCCACAUCCCUCAUUUCCUCUAUCCUGGUUGUUUUGGCGAACUAUUGGUGGGUUGGCUUGACCAACGGUCCCACUAUAGUUUCCUCCUUCAGAAUGCCCUCCAUUUACUUCGGGCUCUUCUACUCGAAUUGACAAUUCCUCGCGAUUUUGUCUGAUCAGACGUCUAGUUUCUUCCAUCUGAUUAUUCAACAUUGCCUGGAUCAUCACUUGAACUCCGGCCAUUGUCAUUGGUUCAGGCGCUGCUGCCACAACAGGUAUUUGUUCAAUUACUGGUAUUUGAUUCCUGUUUUCAUCAGCAUUUCCAACUCCACUCCUCGUUCUCACCAUUUUUGAUCUAUACACCGAAUAAGGUGAAAUUAGAUCCUUAGUCACGAUAGAUAUUCAAAUCAUCCUUAUCACUCCGAAACGUUUACAUGUUAGUUCUAAUAUCGUAGACGCACGCUUAGAAUCCUAAACACAUAAGGUUUCCAGAUCCGGUCGGCAACAGACCAUAGAUCCGAACAAUUAACAUCAUAUAUGGCAAACAUAUAACAAUUAGCACAUAAUAGCAUUUUAGGCAAUUUUCCUAAAAUAAAAUAGUGCCUGUGUCAAUUUAGGUGUACUACCUAAAAUAUAAUGGACACACUCAACUCACAAUCAUUGCUUAGCAUUCUAAGUUUAAGUCUAGAAAUAAAUCCAUAUUCCUAGUUCGCUUAAACUAAUGCUCUGAUACCAACUGUGACAUCCCCAAUUUCACGGCCAGAAAAGACCGAUUUGUUUAUGCUUUGUUUUAUAAAUCAGAGUGAUCGUUUAAAGAAAACGGUUGCGGAAUUUGUUCCCAAAAUAAAAUAUGAUAACCAUUUAUCAAAACAUUUCUCGAAAAGAAUGUAUUUUCAUUAAAUAAUAAAACCUCGGGAUGUCAUGUUCGUUACAGACCAAAAGCAUAAACAAUAUAAAAUAGACCUUACAAUAGUUAUUUAACUACUGAUCUAUAAUCCAAAAUCUCUCGUCAAGUCCACCAACUUAUACCCUUGUGCCAUUACCUGUAAUGAAAAGAAAACUGAGUGGGUCAGGCUUGGGAGCCUGGUGAGCAUAUAGGGUUUUCAACCCACAAUAAUAUAAUCAUUAUAUUUAAUCAGCAAACAAUCAACCCAAUUACCCAUCCCCAUUAUCUUCUUAAGGUUUUACCCUAAGAACCAACUAUCCUUCAUUCAUUCAUUCGUAAGAAAUUUGGCAUGAAUUCCAUUACUGCCAAAGCUUACUUAUCAAGUACUAAAUCCAUAGUUAUCUGGUGCUAACUCCAUAGUCACCAAGGUUCACUUAACAAGCGCUAACUCCAUAGUCGCCAAGGUUUACUCAACAAGCGCUAACUCCAUAGUCGCCAAAGUUUACUCAACGUGCGCUAACUCCAUAGUCGCCAAGGUUCAUCAAAUAGGCACGAAGUCACAUCGUCGCCAAGGUUUAUACAAUAGGCGCUAACUCCAUAGUCACCAACAAUUUCCAUCUACCUAUGUUCUACCCAACAAUUUUGUAGAUAUAAAUACUUACACAGUUUAAAUCAUUUAACACCUGUAUAAAACUCCAAUUUCCAUGCCCAUCUCAAAUAGACAAAUAACAUAUAAACACAUAGCACGUAUUUCAUAGCAAAUACUUCAUAUUUAUGUGUUAGAAGAAAGUAACUACACACCCACACAUAUAAACAACAAUAUACUUAAUACACUCAAACCAUACUUGUAUUAUUAUCGUGUUUAUGAAAGGUAGUAUACACUCACUUGAUCAGAAGAUGAUCGGACAACACUACGACUUGCAGAAGU